UACGAAGGGGGCUAGCGUUGCUCGGAAUUACUGGGCGUAAAGGGUGCGUAGGCGGGUCUUUAAGUCAGAGGUGAAAUCCUGGAGCUCAACUCCAGAACUGCCUUUGAUACUGAGGAUCUUGAGUUCGGGAGAGGUGAGUGGAACUGCGAGUGUAGAGGUGAAAUUUGUAGAUAUUCGCAAGAACACCAGUGGCGAAGGCGGCUCACUGGCCCGAUACUGACGCUGAGGCACGAAAGCGUGGGGAGCAAACAGG
rnacentral:rRNA from 1 species